GGCUUCAACAUCCCCGCAGGCUGGGCGCUGAAUCGGGACUGAUUCCCCCGACGACGUGCAGUGAGCCUGCUGUGCC
rnacentral:sRNA from 1 species